CCCUGCCCACUCUGGUUGUGACUCGGGUUGUGGCCUCAAGGACUGUGUUUAUGGCCACUAGUCAAACUUGUUUAGAUGUUGAUGAGCUUGUUGAUGAUGUUAGUGACUUAUUGAAGGAAUCUAGAGUAAACAAUCAAAUAUCGGACUAAUCAAAAUUCGGACAGUUAUAUUUUUAAAACUUAAGAUGAUUUUCCAGUGAUUUUUGCACUAGA